rnacentral:rRNA from 1 species
AUCAACUUUCGAUGGUAGGAUAGAGGCCUACCAUGGUGGUAACGGGUAACGGGGUGUUAGGGCACGACACCGGAGAGGGAGCCUGAGAAACGGCUACCACAUCCAAGGAUGGCAGCAGGCGCGCAAAUUACCCAAUCCCGACACGGGGAGGUAGUGACAAUAAAUAACAAUACGGGGUUCUUUAGGAUCUCGUAAUUGGAAUGAGUACAAUUUAAAUCUCUUAACGAGGAACAAUUGGAGGGCAAGUCUGGUGCCAGCAGCCGCGGUAAUUCCAGCUCCAAUAGCGUAUAUUAAAGUUGUUGCAGUUAAAAAGCUCGUAGUUGAAUUUCGGGGUUAGUAGGUUGGUCAUGCCUCUGGUAUGUACUGGUCUCACUGAUUCCUCCUUCCUGAUGAACCGUAAUGCCAUUAAUUUGGUGUUGCGGGGAAUUUGGACUGUUACUUUGAAAAAAUUAGAGUGUUUAAAGCAAGCUAACGCUUGAAUACAUUAGCAUGGAACAAUGAAAUAGGACGUUCGAUCCUAUUUUGUUGGUUUCUAGGUUUGACGUAAUGAUUAAUAGGGAUAGUUGGGGGCAUUAGUAUUCAAUUGUCAGAGGUGAAAUUCUUGGAUUUAUUGAAGACUAACUACUGCGAAAGCAUUUGCCAAGGAUGUUUUCAUUAAUCAAGAACGAAAGUUAGGGGAUCGAAGACGAUCAGAUACCGUCGUAGUCUUAACCAUAAACUAUGCCGACUAGGGAUCGGAUGAUGUUAAUUUUUUAAUGACUCAUUCGGCGCCUUACGGGAAACCAAAGUGUUUGGGUUC